UGACACAUCCGACCUCCAUUCAGAAGAGGAGGCAAUUCCUAAAAGGAGAAAGCCAAUGCCUGUCCAUUUCUAUGGGGACUCGAUGCAGACAGCGAGACUGAAAAUCGGCCCCCCCAAAAAAACAGGGGUCCAACCACUAGCGGGACAGUUGCCCCUCCUCCACCUAUUGCCCCUCCUCCACCACGGACUUCAUCACCAGCAGGACAGCGAACAAGCCAUGCAGGGUACACACCAACCUGGCGAGCGGCGAGGUGUGGUUCAGACGCCAUCGCCUGCUGUGCUCAAAGAUCCAGCCAACGCUAUAAU